rnacentral:rRNA from 1 species
CCUACGGGAGGCAGCAGUAGGGAAUAUUGCUCAAUGGGGGAAACCCUGAAGCAGCAACGCCGCGUGGAGGAUGAAGGUUUUCGGAUUGUAAACUCCUUUUGUUAGAGAAGAUAAUGACGGUAUCUAACGAAUAAGCACCGGCUAACUCCGUGCCAGCAGCCGCGGUAAUACGGGGGGUGCAAGCGUUACUCGGAAUCACUGGGCGGAAAGAGCGCGUAGGCGGGAUAGCAAGUCAGAUGUGAAAUCCUAUGGCUUAACCAUAGAACUGCAUUUGAAACUGUUAUUCUAGAGUAUGGUAGAGGUAGGUGGAAUUCUUGGUGUAGGGGUAAAAUCCGUAGAGAUCAAGAGGAAUACUCAUUGCGAAGGCGACCUGCUAGAACAUAACUGACGCUGAUGCGCGAAAGCGUGGGGAGCAAACAGGAUUAGAUACCCUUGUAGUC